rnacentral:misc_RNA from 1 species
UUUGGCGUAGUCGUAUGCGCUACUUGUAUGUGUUGUGUGGGAGUGGUGUUAAAAGUGGGAAUUUGACAGCAGAGUCAGUUACUAGUAUGUGAUGGAACUUUGUGAUCGUCCCUUGUCAGUAAACGAAGCCGCGUACAUAAUUUUUCAUUAGUCCCCAAAGAAAUAGUGUUAGGGCUGUCUGCUAAUUUCGUCAACCUGUCAGAUGCCGAAGAGUUGAGAAUGAGUACAGAUGACGCCUCACAGUUCCCUAAGGUUUCCGAGGGAAAUUCCAAAAAAUGGGUGUCGUUCGAAGAGGAAGAACAAGAAAAAAUGGACAAAGAAAUGAGCAAAGUGGCACCAAAAGUACCUUUACCCGUCACUAAUGAAGACGCAGACGACGAAUACCAUGGCGCUAUUAUCAAUCCAGAAACAGUGCAUGUGAAUCUCGACCGAAGCUUGAGCAGAUCCGUUUCGCCGGAAAAGCUUCCAGAACCACCAAAAAGGAAAGUUAUAAAACCUUCGCCGAGCGAGGCAUCAGAAUAUAGCGGUACAGUUAUGGGCUCUGAAUCUGUCCACCUCAACAUAGAUAAAACAUCAUACAGUCGAGUUUCAGCAGAAGAAGCUGAUAAAAGGAGCAGUGUGCCAGCGACGAAAGCAAACAGUACAGAAGUGACACUUCGUACUGUAGACCUGAGGGACGUCAGUAAUGGCACUCAUGCUGCUAGUAACAGAGGACCGUCGAUCAAUAGUGCAAUUAUUAGACAAGGAUUUGCUAAUGGGGACAUAAUUGUAACACUGCUUCCAGUCAAUACAAAAUGGCCAUGGAUUACACCAGCUAAAUUUCGACCGGAAUUAGUACCUGAGGAACUCAUGGCUCAAGGUUUAACACUAACAGUAGAAGAUUAUGUUCAUGUGAUGGAAAUACUGACAAAUGAUUUUAGGUUCAACAUUUACAAUAUAUGCUACAAACGCAUUCUUGUAGCCUGGAUAUUUACAGCAUUUGUUGUCCUACUUGGUCUUCUGUUUUCUGGGGUGACUGGUUUGACACUAUUUGGACUCGGUGUUAUGUGGCUCAUCCUGAAUGCUUUAGCAAUUUUUUUCUGUAUGUGGGUGAAAAUUAGGUUAAACCAUAACUUGGAGCGCUGUAUGGCACAAGUAAACAAGCACUUACUGAAGCACAGAAUCAUCCUGGGACUUGAUGAUAGAGGAAAGUUGUCUUGCCAUAAAGUGAAUUUAUGCUUCAUUUAUUUUGAUGCUGUUGAUUGCAUUAAAAAACUUCAAGAAGUAAUAGAAAGGGAGGAACGUGAAGGCCGUCCUGUAAACAGAGAGGAAACUGUUGAAGAGCGUAGACAGAGACAACAAUUUCAGCUGAGAAUGGACAUAGAAGAUCAUGACAUUAUUAUUCAGGGAAGCAACACAACAAGAGUGUCUCGGAAACAGCACUUAACUGCAUGCUCUAUCCAUUCACAAAGCUGACCAAGGAAUGGAAGGUUGAAGAAAUAUGUGGUGCUUGUUUUUCUUUCAAACAUUUGAAAAUUUUUCAUGUGGUAUUGGAACGUGCUGAGAUGGUUUUCCUUCGCUACUCACACCGAUGGGCUAAAGAAUUUGUCCGCAAACAUCUUGAGCUGUCAGUGGAUGGAGCAGGGCAUGGGGGCUUCCCCUCUGCACCUCCUCGACAUUGCAUUACCUC